UUGGAUAGCUCAUCUGGUAGAGCAACAGACUUGUACUCUGUGUGUAGCGGGUUCGAAUCCCGCUCCAAGCA
rnacentral:tRNA from 1 species